CUGUGGCUGUGGAAGUUUUUUUUUUUUUUUUUUUUUAAAUGGGGGGAAAAGAAAAGAACUGCAGGCAGAGGUGGUGCAGAUGCAGAGCUUGAUGCCACACUACACCGAAAAACAUAGAAGGUGAGAGUUCAUAGGAGCAAAGUUGGUCCCCUCCCGAUGGAGCUGCGAGCCUGAGUGUGUAACCCCCCAAGAAAUGAUUCCAUUUUACCUUGACCACAAAAACAAGUGCACAUUUUCCUCCUGCAUCCUCAUCUCCGCCGUGAAAGCUGAAUACAUUAAGUCCUGGACAUGAGGCCCAACAAGGACUUCAGACUCCUACUCACUUAUUACACUCGAAUCCCGAAAUCCUCCUCUCCUCUCCUCUGUCCUGUCUCCUAAACCUUUUUAUUCAGGGACCCGGAGACCUCUCCGGAACAAAACAGC
ensembl:lncRNA